UGUCCUGUAAGCGAGGCAGGAGAGGAGUACCUGGCCGGAAGCAGACCCAGGUGUUUGGGGUUGGGUCUGGUUCCUUGACUGCUGACCUGGGUUUUAUAGUCUGGAGCCCAGACAACAGCGAUGUUGCUGCACCUCCUGCUUCUCUCAGGAUCAUCCGUUAUUUCAUUGUUUUGUUUUUUGCUAAGGAUAUGUUGUUGUUUUUUUUCAUGUCCGUUUGAGUCAUAAAUACCACAGAAAGCAAAAUUACAGAGGAAUUGUUGCAGCUUCAAAAUAAGUUUUUAAUCAUUUCUGGCUGCCUCACUGAAAUUAAAUAGUUUCAGCUCAACUUGGAGAAGCACGGGAUGGACAGUGGGUUACAUGCUUGUUGUUUGUCUUCUUCUUCUUUUUCCUUUAAUGACUGAAAAAUAGAUUUAACUCUGCCAUACCCAGAGGGAUUUUUUACUGUUCCCAUUUAUUACUCAGUAUGCACUGUAUUAUUGUGCAAACAUAGACUUCAGUGUUUUAUAGUCGUUUUGUGAUAAAUAAAACUUUAUACUAUG